GCCCCCCCCCAAGCGUCGUCGCCCCCCACGUGAGCUCCUGAGGACCCCCAGCGUUGGUUGGGUCCCCCCCGAACUUGGGGGGCUGUGGGAUCGCUGUGCCCGAGCCUGGAGCCCCCCCAGACCCUCAGAGCUCCCCAGUGAGCUGGAGGUGCCCAGGGGGGUUCUGGAACCUUCUCUGCCCACCCUGCCCUCCUCAGAGCUGUCCCUGGAGGUGCUGGAGGAGGAAG